rnacentral:lncRNA from 1 species
CUGACUCCUCCAGUGGCACUGCAGCUCUGGAGUGGCCAGCUCACCACAGCACCCUCCACUUCACCUUGGGGAGAGGAGGGAUGCUGGUGGUUAAGGAGGUUAAAACCAUUAGUUCCAGUAAUGCCAGUUCCCAAACAUGCACUUCCUUCCUUUCCCCCAAGGUCUGGGACCAAGGAGAAAGGGACCGAAAUGAGCCCAGCCAUGAGGAGCAACUCGAGGAGAGAAAAUAUAGCCCAAGGAGGUUAGAAGAGUUCCAAUAUACCUCCUCCCUCCCCC